rnacentral:rRNA from 1 species
GAAGGUCACGGCGAGACGAGCCGUUUAUCAUUACGAUAGGUGUCAAGUGGAAGUGCAGUGAUGUAUGCAGCUGAGGCAUCCUAACAGACCGGUAGACUUGAACCUUGUUCCUACAUGACCCGAUCAAUUCGAUCGGGCACUCGCCAUCUAUUUUCAUUGUUCAACUCUUUAACAACACGAAUAACCAUUGUUCAACUCUUUGACAACAUGAAAAACCAAAAGCUCUGCCCUCUCUAUCUAUCCAAGGGAUGGAAGGGCAG